rnacentral:tRNA from 2 species
GCCGGGGUGCCCGAGCGGACCAAGGGGGCGGGCUCGAGACCCGCUGCCCCCUGUGGGGCGCAUGGGUUCGAAUCCCAUCCCCGGCG